AGCAGCCGCGGUAAUUCCAGCUCCAAUAGCGUAUAUUAAAGUUGUUGCAGUUAAAAAGCUCGUAGUUGAACUUCGGGGUUCACCCAUUGGUCAGGCUUAAUUGUCUGUACUGGUGAGAUGAAUCUCUACCUUCUGAGGAACUUUCAUGCCAUUUAUUUGGUGUGAUGGGAAAUCAGGACUGUUACUUUGAAAAAAUUAGAGUGUUUAAAGCAGGCUAACGUCUGAAUACAUUAGCAUGGAAUAAUGAAAUAGGACGGAUUGAUUCUAUUUCGUUGGUUUCUAGGGUCACCGUAAUGAUUAAUAGGGAUAGUUGGGGGCAUUAGUAUUCAAUUGUCAGAGGUGAAAUUCUUGGAUUUAUUGAAGACUAACUACUGCGAAAGCAUUUGCCAAGGAUGUUUUCAUUAAUCAAGAACGAAAGUUAGGGGAUCGAAGACGAUCAGAUACCGUCGUAGUCUUAACCAUAAACUAUGCCGACUAGGGAUCGGACGAAGUUAAUUAAUAAUGACGCGUUCGGCACCG
rnacentral:rRNA from 1 species